UGUUUACGUAUACGUAUACGUUGACAUUAAUAAUCUGUCAAAACCGUAAACACAUUAUUUUCAUAACGCAAUUUUGCGAGAGUUCCUAUUAGUUGAAAAAAAUUAAAUUUUUGUGUGCAAACUGAAACGCAAAAUGGUUUAGUGCGAUGUAUGCCAGCAGAAUAUUUCGGGAAACAUUUACAAGCACAAAAGAGUUGAGCACAGUUGGGAUCGAGGUGGUAUUAAAUUGAUUAAACAGGAAGAUAAAACUCUGAUCGAAGCUAUACAAAACGAAAAAACAUUCGUUGGACCUUCGCUGUUAUAUUUGAAACGUCUCGCAAAUUAUGCGGUAACACAAAAUUUUCAAGCCACAUUUUUUGGAGUCGACUCACCAAAACCAGAACUUGUCAUUACAACGGGUACAAUUGCAGAGAAUGAAAGAAAUUUGGCUGAAAUUGUGGAUCAACUCUAUGGCCAAAUCGGUCAAUGAACUACGAUCGCUAUUCAAUAUUUAGUUUAUGAAUAUGUUCAUUUUUUCACGCAAAAUGCGACCAAUUACAUUUAUAAUUAAAUACCAUGAAUAAAUAUUAAUUUUUUAUGUAAAAAA